rnacentral:rRNA from 1 species
AAUCAACGCUGGCGGCGUGCCUCAGACAUGCAAGUCGAACGAUUAAAGCUCUCUUCGGAGAGUGUAUAGAGUGGCGCACGGGUGAGUAACACGUAAGUAAUCUACCCUCGAGUGGGGAAUAACAACCGGAAACGGUUGCUAAUACCGCAUAAUGCAGCGGCACCGCAAGGUGACAGUUGUUAAAGAUUUAUCGCUUGAGGAGGAGCUUGCGGCAGAUUAGCUAGUUGGUAGGGUAACGGCUUACCAAGGCUACGAUCUGUAACCGGUCUAAGAGGACGGUCGGUCACACUGACACUGAAUAACGGGUCAGACUCCUACGGGAGGCAGCAGUCGGGAAUUUUGGGUCGAAUGGGCGAAAGCCUGACCCAGCAACGCCGCGUGAAGGAUGAAGUAUUUCGGUAUGUAAACUUCGAAAGAAUAGGAAGAAUUAAUGACGGUACUAUUUAUAAGGUCCGGCUAACUACGUGCCAGCAGCCGCGGUAAAGUCUGUACU